CGCUCAUUCAAUCCCUGCAAAAAUCCUCUGAGGGGAGCACUUAAGAGCCUCUCAUUUUCCAAAAGAAGAAACUGAAGGAUAGAUCUCUAGAACCCUGAAGUUCCUGUGUUCUCAUUAACAAUUCUAUGACCUACUUUAGUUUUGAAUGUAAUUCCACAGCAGAUGGCUGGAACGUGGUCUGGGGGAUUAAGCGAGCCUUUUCAGAUUAAUGCCAAGAAAAUAUAUGCAGAAGAGACACCCAUGUCAUUGAACAAGAGGUUCUAAUAUUACAUAACAGGGUAGUGGUAUGUAGCUGUAGUGGUAUGUGCUCUCUCUCAAUGCUGAGCUGCAGCUCCCAGUCAGCCACUGGAUCAUGAGGGUAAAAUACGGAUACUUGACAUCUUCUUAAAGAACAUCAUGCCUGCUAAGCCAUCCAGUUUGGAUGCCCCAGUGCCUUCCACCAGCCAUUCUCAAGCCUCAUUAGAAGAGAGAGAUUGAUGACCCUGUAGCUGCAGCAUCCCAUCAUCCUGCAUUUUAGUUCAAUGCUUCAAACGUUCUUCAGGCCCAGUGUGCUUUCAGCUGUGUAUGUUAAUGGCACUCCGUGGGGCUGCUUCUUGUUAAUGAGCUGCUGAAGAUGGGCCAGUGUCACCCAGAAGAGCGGCGCUCACGGCUGCCCUGAUGACGUCAAGUUCACGGAUCAUGUGAUCGUAAACAGACAUCAAGAUCAUGGAUGACGUGAUCUUAAACAAGAUGAUCUUUCUGAGCCUCAGUGUUAGAGAAAUUCUAAAUCUCAUUUUUUAACUUUGUUAAAAGUAAUUAGAAUAAAAAUAAAUGUAUCCUUGGCAUCUUGGAGAGAGACACGGCGUCGUUCUUAAUGUUUAACCAUGGGGGAAAAGACUCCAUCGGACUGGAUUCACCAUUUCAUGCCCAACGGUGGUG
rnacentral:lncRNA from 1 species